CAGAGGGGGCAAGCGUUAUUCGGAAUUAUUGGGCGUAAAGGGCGCGUAGGCGGCUUGGCAAGUGGAAGGUGAAAUCCCUCGGCUUAACCGAGGAACUGCCUUCCAGACUGCUUUGCUUGAGGCCGGGAGAGGCGAGUGGAAUUCCCAGUGUAGCGGUGAAAUGCGUAGAUAUUGGGAGGAACACCAGUGGCGAAGGCGGCUCGCUGGACCGGUUCUGACGCUGAGGCGCGAAAGCGUGGGGAGCAAACGGGAUUAGAUACCCCGGUAGUCCACGCCGUAAACGAUGAGUGCUUGGUGUAGCGGGUAUCGACCCCUGCUGUGCCGAAGUCAACACAUUAAGCACUCCGCCUGGGGAGUACGGUCGCAAGGCUG
rnacentral:rRNA from 1 species